rnacentral:rRNA from 1 species
UGGGGAAUAUUGGACAAUGGGCGCAAGCCUGAUCCAGCCAUGCCGCGUGAGUGAUGAAGGCCCUAGGGUUGUAAAGCUCUUUCACCGGUGAAGAUAAUGACGGUAACCGGAGAAGAAGCCCCGGCUAACUUCGUGCCAGCAGCCGCGGUAAUACGAAGGGGGCUAGCGUUGUUCGGAUUUACUGGGCGUAAAGCGCACGUAGGCGGACUUUUAAGUCAGGGGUGAAAUCCCGGGGCUCAACCCCGGAACUGCCUUUGAUACUGGAAGUCUUGAGUAUGGUAGAGGUGAGUGGAAUUCCGAGUGUAGAGGUGAAAUUCGUAGAUAUUCGGAGGAACACCAGUGGCGAAGGCGGCUCACUGGACCAUUACUGACGCUGAGGUGCGAAAGCGUGUGGAGCAAACAGG